GUGCCAGCAGCCGCGGUAAUACGUAGGGCGCAAGCGUUGUCCGGAAUUAUUGGGCGUAAAGAGCUCGUAGGCGGUUUGUCGCGUCUGCUGUGAAAGCCCGGGGCUUAACCCCGUGGUGUGCAGUGGGUACGGGCAGACUAGAGUGCAGUAGGGGAGACUGGAAUUCUGGUUGUACCGGUGACAUGCCCAGAUAUCCAGGAGGAACACCGAUGGCGAAGGCAGGUCUCUGGGCUGUUACUGACGCUGAGGAGCGAAAGCAUGGGAGGCGACCAGGAUUAGAUACCCUGGUAGUCC
rnacentral:rRNA from 1 species